GGCAGAGUGGGGCAGGUCUUGUUGCUGGAUGGCCAAGGCCAUCUCCUGGGCUGCCUGGUGGCCAUUGUAGCCAAACAGGUAUUGUGCUGCACCACAAGACCAGGGGAGUCCAGGCUGCCCUGAGUGUUCUAGGUCACCGCCCUAUGACAAGAAAAAGAAGAUGGUAGUUCCUGUUGCUCUCAAGGUUGUGUGUUAGAAGCCUACAAGAAACUUUGCCUAUCUGGAGUGCCUGGCUCAUGAGAUCGGCCUGAAGCACCAAUCAGUGAAGCAACCCUGGAGAAGAGGAAGCAGAAAGCCAAGAUCCUUUACAGGAAGGAAAAUGAGCUUAGGUUAAGAAAAAAGGCGGAAAAGAAUACAGAGAAGAAAAUUUACAAGUUCACAGAGGUUUUGGGAUCCAUGGAUUCCUGGGACUGAGUCCAAUAAAGACUGUUUAUGCCUCAUGUUUGGCCUGGCCUGCCCUUCCUCCAUUGGCACACUUGGGAUAUGGGGAACCCAGGACAGCUCUCCAGGUGCCUCAGGCAGCCUGGAAUGUGGAAAGGUGAGACAGGGAAGGGACUAGCCUUAGUCUCUGCUCUUGUUUAGAAGGUCUUUCUGUGAGGUUUCUAGGAAUUUUAUGAUCAGAAUUUAUGACCUGCUCAUUCAUGAAUUUUAGAAUAUUGAUAGAAUCACCAGUUACUUGUAGUAUUCAAAGAGAGAGAGAGAGAGAGAGAGAGAGAGAGAGAGAGAGAGAGAUGGAACAGUGUCCACCUGUAUUCCCACAUAGCCAUCCUAUUCUCUGUAGCUGACAGAAUGGGAGAGAACACAGCUGCUGAAGUGGGCAAGUUUUAGAUGUGCAAAAACUGUGACCAAGAGAUUACAGCCUUGCUUUUCUCCUUCCCUCUGUUUUGUGAUCAAAAGCAAAUAAAUUAUUUUUCAAGGA
rnacentral:lncRNA from 1 species